AAUUUUUUCCUUGGACUGAGGCAGGAGUGCUCACAAAGCACUGUGCUGGCCUGGCAAAAUGUCUGCAGGGUCUCUGCCUUUCCUUCCAACUAGGGCUGUGGUGCCAUCAAUAUGCUAAUUCAAGGCAGCUGAGAGCAGAACUCCCUACCUGCAGCUUCUUAAGCUCAAAGAUUUUUUUAAUCAGUUUCUUAAUUGGAACCUAGGGGACCCCAUUAUGCUUUAAUAAUACAAAAUCUAACUUUAAAAAAAAUCUUAAUUAUGGGCUGCUUUUUAAAUGGAUUUGAUCAGUGAGAGUAUCUACGUUUUGGAGAGGGGGGAGGGAGUUUUGGCUCCUUUUAGAAGAUUGGUACACAGAAAUGCUCAGGAAUCACAGUGAUUGUUAUGUGCUGCUGUGGUCAGAUUACUCUGUGUCCCAGACAGUUUAAAGGAGCACCAUAGUGUUUUAACUGACAGUUAAAAGGCGCAAGAUGGGAAUUGUAUCCUCACAGGAGCUUGCAAACCACUGUUUCACUGAAGCUUUCUGCUAAUAAGUGACAUGUCUCUCAGGAAAACUAACUGCAUUACCUUUCAUUAAUUCCACAUGAGAGGAAGACCUUUGUCUCAAUUAAAUAUGAUCUGGUGGAAGAGAUACUGGAGAAGGCUCAGCAAUGAUUGCAAAGUCAUGGGAACUCUGUUCCACUUAUUCCACCUGCUGUCUUAAGGCCUGAAACCCUCACAUGGCUUGGAAAGAAAUGCAAUGUUUGGACUUGAAGGUUUCAGAGAACUUUGUGACUAUUUGCAGUUUAUGCUAAAUGCCUUCUGCCUUCACUUCUGUGAAGUUUCUGUGAGGCUUAAACUAAAACUUACAGUGACAGGGCAAAUAGGACAAUAUGAUGGUGUUUGGGCCCUAUGAACACCCCUUGUGCUGAUGGUAUAGUAAGACAAUCCUGUGGUUUCGUCACUAUGGAGACUGUGACUUUAAGUAUUAAGCAGACUCCCUCUUUUUUGUUGAGGAUGGAUGGCUCUUUAAUUUGUGCUGAGAGUGCUCUCAGAAAAGGUAUGGGUCAAGCUAAUGAUUUUUAAACUGAUUGGUCAAAGAAAGGGAAAAACAUUAGUGGAUUUAUUAGCUACAGAUUUUUUCGAGACAAGUUGCUCUUCCCUGCAUUCAUCAUCUGCUUUCAGAUUACCUGCAGUACCUGCUUUUUUUGCUAUCCAAAAGCAGGGGAAGGAGUGGAAAGAUAGGGAAAUUUUUCUCAGCGAAGUUAGAUGGAGUGAGCCAUAAAGAUGGACAAAAAGCACAUGCUAGUGACAAAUGCAUGGACCAAAUUGUUCCCUGAGCACAUCUUGAUUAUCAGGCCAAAUGAAAUAGUUGGUAUGUCAGAUGCCAAUGGCACAUAUGAGGUUUA